GGGGCCUUAGCUCAGCUGGGAGAGCGCCUGCUUUGCACGCAGGAGGUCAGCGGUUCGAGCCCGCUAUGCUCCA
rnacentral:tRNA from 1 species